AUUGAACGCUGGCGGCAGGCCUAACACAUGCAAGUCGAACGAGUGGCGGACGGGUGAGUAAUGUCUGGGAAACUGCCCGAUGGAGGGGGAUAACUCCUGGAAACGGUCGCUAAUACCGCAUACCCUCGCCUUUUCCCCGAUGGGAUUAGCUUGUAGGUGGGGUAAAGGCUCACCUAGGCGACGAUCCCUAGCUGGUCUGAGAGGAUGACCAGCGACACUGGAACUGAGACACGGUCCAGACUCCUACGGGAGGCAGCAGUGGGGAAUAUUGCACAAUGGGCGCAAGCCUGAUGCAGCCAUGCCGCGUGUAUGAAGAAGGCCUUCGGGUUGUAAAGUACUUUCAGCGGGGAGGCGUUAAACGAAGAAGAAGCACCGGCUAACUCCGUGCCAGCAGCCGCGGUAAUAG
rnacentral:rRNA from 1 species